rnacentral:rRNA from 1 species
AAUGAACGCUGGCGGCAUGCCUAACACAUGCAAGUCGAACGAGACCUUCGGGUCUAGUGGCGCACGGGUGCGUAACGCGUGGGAAUCUGCCCCUUGGUUCGGAAUAACAGUUAGAAAUGACUGCUAAUACCGGAUAAUGACGUAAGUCCAAAGAUUUAUCGCCAAGGGAUGAGCCCGCGUAAGAUUAGCUAGUUGGUGGGGUAAAAGCCUACCAAGGCGACGAUCUUUAGCUGGUCUGAGAGGAUGAUCAGCCACACUGGGACUGAGACACGGCCCAGACUCCUACGGGAGGCAGCAGUGGGGAAUAUUGGACAAUGGGCGAAAGCCUGAUCCAGCAAUGCCGCGUGAGUGAUGAAGGCCUUAGGGUUGUAAAGCUCUUUUACCCGGGAAGAUAAUGACUGUACCGGGAGAAUAAGCCCCGGCUAACUCCGUGCCAGCCGCCGCGGU